GGGGUUUCCAAUAGUCGAUUCGACGCCUUCCGGCUCUCUAGCACGUCCUCGCAAGGAUCGUGCCCGUUGUCCUCUUCCUGGGGUUUCCAACGGUCGAUUCGACGCCUUCCGGCUCUCUAGCACGUCCUCGCAAGGAUCGUGCCCGUUGUCCUCUUCCUAGGGUUUCCGAUGGUCGAUUCGACGCCUUCCGGCUCUCUAGCACGUCCUCGCAAGGAUCGUGCCCGUUGUCCUCUUCCUGGGUUUCCAAUGGUCGAUUCGACGCCUUCUUACCGGUUCUCUAGCACGUCCUCGCAAGGAUCGUGCCCGUUGUGACACCUUUCUUAGUAUCGCAACAGCGAUUAUUUUAAAUUGAUGACUCAGCGUUGAGCGCGUAUUUCAACAGAACACUUUCCAACACUUUUCUUCUGCGAAUCUUCUUAUGGUCGUUUAGGCCUGACCAUUCCUUCCACCGAUUUCGAAACUCGUUGUACAAACACCUUUUCCCUAGGUGUGUUUUCCCAGAGAACUAGUUCAAAAGACCUAAACACUACAGGAAUUUUCUUCUGGUUACUCUUUAGGCGGUAACCACACCUUGCUUUUAACCGCAACGAAAACGCGCGACGUUGUGGCUCCUCACUCGGGGCACCAUGUAAACGGCCCGCGGGAUUUUCUUUAUGGCCGGAAUCCGCGCGUCGACUCUAGCACGAUCUCGCGGUAUUUACUCGAUCUUACCGACAACUGGUAGACGCCAACUGAGUGCGUUUCCCCAAUCUUCCCCUUCGGACUGACAGGCUGGGUGGCUGACCCAGUACCUGCUGGCGGAAGGUUCGACUAGAGAACCGUGUCUCUUUAACAGUUAAGCACUGAUUCGUCGGAACGACACUCGCCAGGCGAGUGGUCCGCAACCGAAGGAAGCGAGUGUUUAACCGUUGUUACGGCGGUUCAACAACAGAGGAGAACCAGUCGUGGAUAUUUCCUCUUGUUUUUCCCUUCAGACGGACAGGCUGAUGUUUUAACCAGUACCUGACAGUGGAAGGUUCCAAUAGGGAGCUCUCUCUCUUAACGAUUGAAAGCUGACUCGUCAGAACGACACCCGCCAGGCGAGUAGUCCGCAACCGAAGGAGUCGAGUUUGCAAUCGUUGGUGAUAACCUUAGUGGUUGGACUUACCAGGAAUUUCUCUCUAGAAAGACAAGUUGCCUGUUCCGAGUCUAAACGUAAGAUCAUGUAUUUCGUGGUUGGUUCUGGGUUUUUAUAGGCGACUUUCGUCGAUCUGGGGGACUUAUUCUAAGAAGUGACAAAUGCAGUUCUAUCGUAGGUCCUAUUGAUUCUUAAAGUUAGAAAGGGACAAUUGUCGUGAUUGCCUAAAUCUAAUUUUCUCCCA